GCCCGCUCCGGCAGCGCAGAUACUAAAACGAGCGAUACAGAGAAGGUUCACAGCGUGGCCCCUGUGCAAGAAUGACGCGCGAAUUCGUGACGCGUUCCCCGGUUAA